GAUGAACGCUAGCGGUAGGCUUAACACAUGCAAGUCGAGGGGCAGCGAGCGAGAUAGCAAUAUCUUGUGUCGGCGACCGGCGCACUGGUGAGUAACACGUAUGCAACCUGCCCUCUACAGGGGGAUAAUCCGGAGAAAUUCGGUCUAAUAUCCCAUAGUCCCUGAGUUUGCAUGAGCUUAGGGGGAAAGUUCCGGCGGUAGAGGAUGGGCAUGCGGCGCAUUAGCUGGUUGGCGGGGUAACGGCCCACCAAGGCGACGAUGCGUAGGGGUUCUGAGAGGAAGGUCCCCCACACUGGUACUGAGACACGGACCAGACUCCUACGGGAGGCAGCAGUGAGGAAUAUUGGUCAAUGGGCGCGAGCCUGAACCAGCCAAGUCGCGUGAGGGAUGACGGUCCUACGGAUUGUAAACCUCUUUAGGCGGGGAGUAAUGUGCUCUACGAGUAGAGUAGUGAGAGUACCCGCAGAAUAAGCAUCGGCUAACUCCGUGCCAGCAGCCGCGGUAAUACGGAGGAUGCGAGCGUUAUCCGGAUUUAUUGGGUUUAAAGGGUGCGCAGGCUGUGCAUCAAGUCAGCGGUAAAAUCUCGGGGCUCAACCCCGUUUAGCCGUUGAAACUGGUGUGCUGGAGUGUGUGCGAGGAAGGCGGAAUGCGCGGUGUAGCGGUGAAAUGCAUAGAUAUUGCGCAGAACUCCGAUUGCGAAGGCAGCCUUCCAGUGCAUGACUGACGCUGAGGCACGAAAGCGUGGGUAUCGAACAGG
rnacentral:rRNA from 1 species